GGGCCCGCACAAGCGGUGGAGCAUGUGGUUUAAUUCGAUGCAACGCGAAGAACCUUACCUACCUUUGAAUCCACGGAAGCCAUUAGAGAUAGUGGUGUGCCUUCGGGAACCGUGAGACAGGUGCUGCAUGGCUGUCGUCAGCUCGUGUCGUGAGAUGUUGGGUUAAGUCCCGUAACGAGCGCAACCCUUAUCCUUAGUUACCAGCGGUUCGGCCGGGGACUUUAGGGAGACUGCCGGUGAUAAACCGGAGGAAGGUGGGGACGAGGUCAAGUCAUCAUGGCCCUUACAGGUAGGGCUACACACGUGCUACAAUGGCCGGUACAGAGGGCAGCGAAGUCGCGAGAUGGAGCCAAUCCCAGAAAGCCGGUCUUAGUCCGGAUUGGAGUCUGCAACUCGACUCCAUGAAGUUGGAAUCGCUAGUAA
rnacentral:rRNA from 1 species